rnacentral:rRNA from 1 species
AUACGUAGGGGGCAAGCGUUGUCCGGAAUGAUUGGGCGUAAAGGGCGCGUAGGCGGCCUGGUAAGUCUGGAGUGAAAGUCCUGCUUUUAAGGUGGGAAUUCGCUUUGGAUACUGUCGGGCUUGAGUGCAGGAGAGGUAAGUGGAAUUCCCGGUGUAGCGGUGAAAUGCGUAGAGAUCGGGAGGAACACCAGUGGCGAAGGCGACUUACUGGACUGUAACUGACGCUGAGGCGCGAAAGUGUGGGGAGC